GGAGUUUUUAAUAAAUCACUCUGGUGUGAGAGGAAUGCAGCUGAUCUCUGAAUUAGCCACUGUUGGAAUAGAUCCAUGUGUUACAUCCCACUAUCUGGAUGACAUCACAACAGCUUCUAGUCCUUGAGAGUCCUGAGGGUGAUCAGCUGAAGGAAUUGGCUGCUUCUGCCAAUCAUAAUACUGCAAAGAUGCUUGCCGUUCCAGUUCAGAUGAUAAGACAGAGCAGCGAGGAGAGCACUGACUAUAGCAGCCCAUCAAGACGUACAGUAGCAAGGGGAGAGGCAGUCAGCAGCUGGUGUUCGUGAGAUUAAAUAGUUUUCAUAGCAAUGUUUUGUGUGUGCUGUUCCCUGAAUUCUCCCUGGUGAAAUCCUCAUGUCCAAGAAGGAAGGUGCAUUUUAUAGUGCUUCGCACAGAGGUGUGAAUCAUUCCAGCUGGCUGCAUGGCUAGAAAACGGCACACAGUGACUGCAUGUAUGUCUAUUCCUGCUGGUAUAUAACAGAGGGGGCUCUGCUGUAAGGAGUUCAGUUUCUUUGCUGGCUGACUUGGCUACUGAUUCAGCAGAUGGUGAGACCUGACAGGUAACCCUAACUCCUCUGUUCCCGGUUACGUGUUCCUGUGGAGGCUGCAAAGCAUCUAGCGAAGAAGAAGAGACGGACGUUGUUUUUUCAGGUGAUGAUAAACAAUUACUUUGGCUGUCAGGAAAUUCUGGAUGAAAGACUUGUCUAUUGUACAGACGCAUAUUCAUACAUAUCCCUGGUUCAACUUGUUUGAUUGCCUCUACUAUAACUGAAGUGCAAUGGUCACAUAAGUAUUUGCAGAGGAGUGCAAGCUCACUUUCAUUUUCAACUCAUAUGAUCACUUUAAGAUGAAAUAAGGGGAGAGGCAUUUCAAAUUUUGAAGAUAAAAACCCCAAACCAUGAAUCAUUUUGUUAAGUUGCGAAGGAGCUUCCGAACACUAGUAAUUCUUUUAGCCACAUUCUGCCUUGUAAGUAUAGUGAUUUCCGCUUACUAUUUGUAUUCUGGCAACAAACAGGCAAUAGUACUUGUUGAAACAACAAAGCAAGCUGAUUUUGAGGAUAUAAACUUAUUACCAUACCGAGCAAUGGAAACGAAGACCACUAAAUCAAUCGAUAUUGCAAAGACAGAUCUCACAGUGUUAGUCUUUGUGGAGAGUCAGUACUCUCAGCUUGGACAGGACAUUGUAGCAAUUCUAGAGUCCAGCAGAAUUCAUCAUCAAAUAGUAAUUGCACCCACAAAAGGAGACAUUCCUCCUCUUACAAAAGAUGGCAAAGGCAAAUAUGCAAUUAUUGUGUAUGAAAAUAUAUUAAAGUAUGUAGCAAUGGACUCAUGGAAUCGAGAACUUUUAGAAAAAUACUGCGUUGAAUAUAGUGUUAGCAUCAUUGCAUUCCAUAAAGCUACUGAAAACAGCUUGCCAAGUACCAAAUUAAAAGGUUUUCCUCUUGUUCUCUACAACAAUGUAGCUCUUAAAGACUGUUUUGUAAAUUCAAACUCCCCUUUGCUGCACAUAACAAAAGCUUCAACAGUUGAAAAGGGUCCUUUGCCUGGAGAAGACUGGACCGUAUUCCAAUACAACCACUCCACAUACCAACCAGUGAUUUUAUCUGAACUGCAAACACAGGAACAACAUGAAAACUCUUUAUCCAGAUCUUCCCACCAUGCCACCAUAAUCCAGGACUUAGGUCUUCACGAUGGGAUUCAACGAGUUUUGUUUGGCAACAAUUUGAAUUUUUGGUUGCACAAGUUAAUUUUUGUAGAUGCUAUAUCUUUUCUGUCUGGGAAGAAGCUUAGUUUAUCAUUGGACAGAUACAUUCUUGUUGACAUAGAUGAUAUUUUCGUUGGAAAGGAAGGCACUAGGAUGAAUGUAAAUGAUGUUAAGGUAUUACUAGAUACACAAAAAUUACUGCGCACUCAGGUUGCAAAUUUCACCUUCAAUCUUGGAUUUUCAGGGAAGUUUUAUCACACAGGUUCUAUUGAGGAGGAUAAAGGAGAUGACCUUUUGUUGUCCUCAGUGCAUGAGUUUUGGUGGUUCCCUCACAUGUGGAGUCAUAUGCAGCCUCAUCUUUUUAAUAAUGAGUCCUCCUUGGUGGAACAAAUGAUUUUAAACAUGGAGUUUGCGCAGGAACAUGGCAUUCCAACAUACAUGGGUUAUGCUGUGGCUCCACAUCACUCAGGUGUCUAUCCCGUACAUGUGCAGCUAUAUGAAGCCUGGAAGAGGGUAUGGAGCAUUAGAGUUACAAGCACAGAAGAAUAUCCUCACUUGAAACCUGCACGAUACAGACGGGGUUUUAUACACAAUGGCAUAAUGGUUUUGCCUCGGCAAACUUGUGGUUUGUUCACACAUACAAUGUUCUACAAGGAGUAUCCUGGUGGACCAAGUGAACUGGACAAAAGUAUUAGAGGAGGAGAGCUCUUCUUAACCGUGCUACUAAACCCUAUCAGCAUCUUUAUGACACACUUGUCUAAUUAUGGGAAUGACCGCCUUGGCUUGUACACCUUUGUUAAUCUUGCUAAUUUUGUACAAACCUGGACCAAUUUAAAGCUGCAGACUCUGCCUCCGUUGCAGCUGGCUCACAAAUAUUUUGAACUCUUCCCUGAGCAAAAGGAUCCGCUUUGGCAGAAUCCAUGUGAUGACAGAAGACACAGAGACAUCUGGUCUAGAGACAAAACCUGUGAACGCCUACCAAAAUUUCUUCUGAUAGGACCUCAAAAAACUGGCACAACAGCACUUUACUUAUUUCUACUAAUGCACCCCUACAUCAUUAGCAACAUUCCUAACCCAAAGACCUUCGAGGAAGUGCAAUUCUUUAAUGGCAACAACUAUCACAAAGGAAUUGACUGGUAUAUGGAUUUUUUCCCUUAUCCAUCGAACACAACUUCGGAUUUCCUAUUUGAAAAAAGUACUAAUUAUUUUCAUACAGAGGAAGUACCCCAGAGAGUUGCUGCACUCUUACCAAAAGCAAAGAUCAUCACCAUUCUCAUUGAUCCAUCUGACAGAGCAUACUCGUGGUACCAGCAUCAACGAUCUCAUGCUGAUCCCACUGCUCUGAAAUUUAGCUUCUAUGAAGUGAUAACUGCCGAUCGUAAAGCUUCCUUGGAGUUACAGACCCUGCAGAAAAGAUGCCUUGUGCCUGGCUUAUAUUCUACACACAUAGAACGAUGGUUAAAUUAUUUUACAUCUUCACAGCUGUUAAUUAUAGAUGGACAACAUCUGAGGAAUGAACCAGCUAUUGUAAUGGAUGAAGUGCAGUCCUUUUUAGGAGUUUUUCCUCAUUAUAAUUACUCAGAAACGCUAACAUUCAGUACAGAAAAGGGCUUCUGGUGCCAAUUGUUGGAUGGUGGAAAAACAAGAUGCCUCGGGAAAAAUAAGAGUCGCAAGUACACAUCUUUGGAUAUGGAGUCUAGAACUUUUCUUUCAAGCUAUUACCAGGACCACAACAUUGAAUUGUCCAGACUUCUACACAGACUGGGGCAACCUUUACCAUCCUGGCUGAGACAGGAGCUGCAGAAAGUGAGAUAGCAUUGAAGACAUGGACUAAUGCAGAAUUGCAGCCUUGUGGUUUCUCCACUAAGAAAAAUUAAAUAAAAAGUCCCUUCACUCACACUUAACAGUUACCAGUAAUGAUCCCCAAAUAACUCACAAAACCAAGGACAUUUAUUUAUGCACGAGGUGCUAUUUAUCUGCACUGUUACUGUUAGACAUAUCUCAGCAUCGAGGCUGAGUAUUACUAUAUUAUAAAAAAUAUUAUCCUACAUUUAAUGUGGGACUCAUAUUUCACUUUUUUCCUUUGAUAACAAGAAACUUCAAGUAACUUUUUUAUGAUUGGAAUUCUUCAUUUAAUACAACAUGCACUACUGUCUGAGAAAACCAAAGCAAAGAGCAGGAGUAGCUUGCAGUGGAAUUGAAGUGCUUUGACGUAAGGAGGACAUCAACAUGUGGGCUUAGCUAACACUAAAGAAGAAAAUGAAGUCUUCAACUACAUGAAAACCACUCACUGCUGUACAAAACCCCUCUUUUGAUCAGUUUACAUAAAGUAAAUUAAAUACUAUAAAAAUACUAUGCGUUUCCACUGAGAUAUAUUUAUUUUUAUUGAAAAUGUAACUUAUAUGUAUGUGUUAUAUAUAGAGAGUUUAUCCAUACAAAAAGAAAAUGAA